AUUUGUAGAGGGCGCUUUGGUGUUGGCUGCGGUCUAAGUUCCUUGGAACAGGACGUCACAGAGGGUGAGAAUCCCGUACGUGGUCGACAGUCUCCACCGUGUAAAGCCCCUUCGAC
rnacentral:rRNA from 1 species